rnacentral:rRNA from 1 species
GACGAACGCUGGCGGCGUGCUUAACACAUGCAAGUCGAACGAAGUGGCGAACGGGUGAGUAACGCGUAAUCAACCUGCCCUUCAGAGGGGGACAACAGUUGGAAACGACUGCUAAUACCGCAUACUGAAGGAGGGGAUUGCGUCUGAUUAGCUAGUUGGAGGGGUAACGGCCCACCAAGGCGAUGAUCAGUAGCCGGUCUGGGGUGAUGAACGGCCCCAUUGGGACUUGGACCCCGCCCAGACUCCUACGGGAGGCAGGAGGGGGGAAACUUCCGCAAUGGACGAAAGUCUUGCGGGGCAACGCCGCGUGAGUGAUGACGGCCUUCGGGGUGGUAAGCUCUGUUAAUCGGGACGCGGUACCGGAAUAGAAAGCCACGGCUAACUACGUGCCAGCAGCCGCGGUAAUUC